UGUGAUCGUAUAUCAGUGAUCGUGUAUAACAGUUACGAGUGAAAAUUGCGAAGAAUUAGAAUAUUAAAGAAGAAAAAGAAAGUAUAAAGCAUAUAAUAAAAUAUGCAAAUAUAAUUUUUAAUUUUCUAGUAUAACAGCGAAUUCGGUAGCUUAGUGUGCACUAAUAUAAAGUAAUGAAAACAAUAACUUGCGUUGCUAAAACUAAAUUGCUACGAUUUUUCAAAUUUCAGACGAUAAUUUCAUUAAUUUGCAUAGUUCGCGAUGGUGCGAAUUUGUUUUUUGUGCAAGAAAAAGGCAACCAAGAAUGCAAACUUUACAAUGCAUAAAUUUCCAAAAGAAGUGAGCAUUCGAGCACAAUGGUUGCAUGCCUGCAAAUUAUCUGACAAGGACAAUGUAACGCAUGUAUACAUAUGCUCGGAUCAUUUUAUACAGAGUGACUAUAGACAUAGUACGGAACUGCUGUGUCAAAAGAAAUGGUUAUUGAAAUCAGAAGCAGUGCCUUCCAUCGGUGUUCCAAAUCCUCCAGCUAUCAAACUGCAGUUCCAGUCAACAUGCAAGAAUAUGAUUGAUGAGACACGAUCACUGCCUUCAAUUGAUGCUCUUCCAACUUUCACAGCAGUUACUUCUAAUGUCAAAAAACCAGAGUUUGCAUCAACAUUCAAGGAUGUUAUUCAAGAGACACAUCAUGACGAAAAACAGCAAAAGCUGUAUGCUACUCCGAAGAAACGGAGAUUUGCAGAGCCUCGGUACAUAUCCGAAAUUACAACUUCCGAUUUUUCAUCACCCAAGAAAGCCCGAAGAGUUAUCGAUAUGGUGAAAAAAACCUAUAAAGAGAAAUGUAAUUUGAUCCACAAUCUGCAGAAAAAAAAUCGGACGCUGUGUAAACGCAUUACCACUUUAGAAGAAUUGGUAAAGCAUUUGCGUAAAGAAACAUUAAUGUCAGAAGAAGGUGCAGACGCUUUAAUGCGUGCUGCUCAUUGCAAUUUGUCACAUUCCACUAUAACACAUUUUGUCAGCUCUAAAAAUAAAAUAACAGGACAUGAUGCCGGAAAAAAUAAAACAUGUCGCGAGUAGGAAAGUGAAAGGCAAGGGACAGUAUUCGCUUGAACUCUGCAGUUUCGCACUUACAUUUUUAUUCAUCGAAAGCGUACAAUUAUGUAAGAAAAAUGUGGGACAAUUUGCUGCCAAACCUUUCUACCAUUCGUACUUAUACAGAGUCGUCGAUGGAGACUUGGAUUUCACAAAAGAAGCAUUGAAUGCUAUAGCUCUACGAGCGGAAGGACCGAAACUAGUGAUUGUAAAUCUGGUGAAGGACGAAAUGGCUAUUCGUGAGCAGAUAAUUUACGAUAAAGAUAGAUUUCACGGUGACGUCGAUUAUGGAAUUACCGACGAAUGACAAUGAUUGUAUACUGACAGCAAACUACGCUCUAAUGGUUAUGGCGGUGUUCCUGAAUAACAACUGGAAGAUAUCAAUAAGCGCGAUUAGAAGUCGGAGAGAGUUCAAUAACAACCCUAAUGCCCAACAACUUAACAACUUAAAAGUGCGUAUAAACGAUUGUUAAUUAGACACAAAAUUAAAGUUUGAUAAUGGUAAUUGCCUUUUUGACGGCAUAGACAUAUUACACGUCUCUUCUACCGUAAAUACUUUAAAAUGUCCAAUUGGUGAUUCCAGGUUUUUACACAAAUCUAUUGAUUUCGGCCACGACUAUAUUAAAACAUUUUAGGACUUGUCACCAUAUGUUGACAAUGUAGUUCUGUACAUCGCAGACUACGUUAGCAAACACGUUAGCAAUAAUUUAUAUUGUGACAUAUGUCGGGCUCAAUUAGUAGAAUCCUAAAUGCCUUUGCUGUCGUCAAAAAAAAAGAAAAAAAAAGAAAAAAAAAUAGAAGAUCGUAUACUGCAUCGUCUGCAGAUGUUUGCGCGAUUUGUCGUAUGUGGUUAUUCGAGAAAACUCUAGUGGUUUAAUUAAAAAGAAUAUUAAGCGCGGCCUACUUAAUAAAAUUUUUAAUCACAUUGGCAUUCCGUUUUCGAACAAUGUGAUGGAUAUUCAUGUGUUAUCGCAAGACAUUUUAGAUAAUCAUCGCAGUCAGUUAUGCAAAAAUAUAAUUGAAUUAUACUUUAAUAUUUGAUUAUUUUACA